GAAGUGGGGAGGACGGAAUAAGGAAGGAGCUGGCACAACUCACUGGGAGGAAGUGGAACAAGGGAACAGCUUCUUGUCGAGGGCUGCAGUCUGUUCCAAGCAAAUGUCCAAAGGAGAGGAAACAGCUGAGAACACGGAUGGUCUCUGGGUAGUACAGAGAACAAUUGAAGUCCUGUUUCUUAGCAUCAAACAAAGGAAACAGACCCUCUACUGUCAGACAGAUGGAUGCAAGAAACGACACCCUCUGCGCAGAAAGAUAUUAGAAGAAAAGGCCAAAUGAACAGCUGCCAUAGUGGAGUACAACACCCUUGUACCAGAAACUGUCUAUUCGAAAAAAGCAGUUGUGGAAUGAUUUCACUUUCAUCUUCAUCAAAUACUUUCCGUGGAAAACUAGCCUAGAUACCAAGCAGAUAUACUGUAUGCCUCAAUGCGCUAAACAUGCUGCUUGUCAAUAUGACUCAGGCCUAUAAAAAGGCAGGUAAAGUAAUAUACGUUAUAGCAUUAUAUAUAAAUGUAAUCUGUGUUGAUAUACACGUAGGCCUAUGUAUUAUAAUAUAUAGCCUAGCUGUGCCUAACCUAUAGGCCUAUAAUAAACUUGGAUAUGAAUUGUGAAGGACAACGUCAGCUAUCCAAAAUACUACAUUCUCAUCCAUUUUGAUGAGCCAACCUCAUAGUCAUUGUUUUAUACCCUCAUUAAAGCUGAUAGUCUGACCUUUAACCUCAUAGUCAUUGUUUUAUACCCUCAUUAAAGCUGAUAGUCUGUACGUCAACCUCAUAGUCAUUGUUUUAUACCCUCAUUAAAGCUGAUAGUCUGUACGUCAACCUCAUAGUCAUUGUUUUAUACCCUCAUUAAAGCUGAUAGUCUGACCUUUAACCUCAUAGUCAUUGUUUUAUACCCUCAUUAAAGCUGAUAGUCUGUACGUCAACCUCAUAGUCAUUGUUUUAUACCCUCAUUAAAGCUGAUAGUCUGACCUUUAACCUCAUAGUCAUUGUUUUAUACCCUCAUUAAAGCUGAUAGUCUGUACCUCAACCUCAUAGUCAUUGUUUUAUAACCUCAUUAAAGCUGAUAGUCUGACCUUUAACCUCAUAGUCAUUGUUUUAUACCCUCAUUAAAGCUGAUAGUCUGUACGUCAACCUCAUAGUCAUUGUUUUAUACCCUCAUUAAAGCUGAUAGUCUGACCUUUAACCUCAUAGUCAUUGUUUUAUACCCUCAUUAAAGCUGAUAGUUGGUACGUCAACCUCAUAGUCAUUGUUUUAUACCCUCAUUAAAGCUGAUAGUCUGUACCUCAACCUCAUAGUCAUUGUUUUAUACCCUCAUUAAAGCUGAUAGUCUGUACCUCAACCUCAUAGUCAUUGUUUUAUACCCUCAUUAAAGCUGACAGUCUGACCUUUAACCUCAUAGUCAUUGUUUUAUACCCUCAUUAAAGCUGACAGUCUGACCUUUAACCUCAUAGUCAUUGUAUA